rnacentral:rRNA from 1 species
CCUACGGGUGGCUGCAGUGGGGAAUAUUGGACAAUGGGGGGAACCCUUAUCCAGCCAUGCCGCGUGUGUGAAGAAGGCCCUCGGGUUGUAAAGCACUUUCAGUGAGGAAGAACGCCUGGUGGUUAAUACCCAUCAGGAAAGACAUCACUCACAGAAGAAGCACCGGCUAACUCCGUGCCAGCAGCCGCGGUAAUACGGAGGGUGCGAGCGUUAAUCGGAAUUACUGGGCGUAAAGCGCGCGUAGGUGGCUUGAUAAGCCGGUUGUGAAAGCCCCGGGCUCAACCUGGGAACGGCAUCCGGAACUGUCAAGCUAGAGUGCAGGAGAGGAAGGUAGAAUUCCCGGUGUAGCGGUGAAAUGCGUAGAGAUCGGGAGGAAUACCAGUGGCGAAGGCGGCCUUCUGGACUGACACUGACACUGAGGUGCGAAAGCGUGGGUAGCAAACAGGAUUAGAUACCCCAGUAGUC